UAAUGCUACUAGGGGAGCCAUAGUAAAUGGCUGAGAUGAUUAAUUCAGACCCUUAUAACCUGAUUUGGUUAGUACCAACGUAGGAAAGUAGUUAUGUAAAUGU
rnacentral:ncRNA from 21 species